rnacentral:lncRNA from 1 species
CUGUAAAAUUGCAGAAAAAUGUUUAGUUAACCCUCAAAUUAAGGAUGAAGAAUAUUUGCAGUGUGUUAACCACGAAAUUAAUACGUCGUUACCGAGUUGUUUUAAAAACAGAUCAUUUGGAAGACAAACUUAUUUUGCUGCUGGAGGAGGAAUACUAUUAUUAAUUUUGAUGAUAGUUUUAUACAACACCAAAUCACAGAACAAUACGGAAGAAUCUGACAUUUUCAUUGACGAUAACGAGUUUUACGGACCACAUAAAAUUAAUAUAAUACGUAAUGAUUUUAAGAAUAAUAAUGCA